AUUAGAAUAGGCUGUGUAUGGGUGUGUAGAAUGCUUUAACUUCUGAGUUAUUUCAAAUUUCAGUUCAACUACUCUAGCUUUGACAUUAUUAUUUACUAAACUGAGUUCAAGAUGAAUUUCUAAAUUUAAGAUGAGGGUUUCCAAACGGAAAGAAUAGCUGACUUGCAUAGUUUUCCCAGUUAGUCUGUCAGCUACGCUUUCAGUUCAGUUACUCUCGCCUUAAAUUUGAAAUUCAC